AAUUUUCUUCCUGAUAAACAUGUAAUUUGUUUUGGCUGAAGUUUUUUGGACAUAAUGUAGGUUACUUUGGCUGUAAAUUUCACUUUUCUGGACCAAGAGAUAAACAAUUUUUUACAGUGGAAGCUUGAGAUAAUUUCUCAAAUGCAAAAAACUGAAGAUGACAAUUCGGAAUUGUGUAGUCCGAUACUAGUUAUUGUUCACUUGUUGAACUACUGGACUUUGUGGUUUUAUGCAAAUUGUUAAUAUGAAAGAAAAACAGUCAUAUUGGAUUACGGGGAUGCAAUAAAUCGAGCAAAGCUAGACUGAAUCUGAGUUAUUCAAGCCUGGUUCAAAUAAAUUGAUCACAGUUCAUGGUUGAUUUGAACUUGAUAAACAAAGCUGAUGCUCCUUGUGAACAUUGUAAUAUAAUUCGAGUUCCUAUGGUUCCUAAAGUUAUUGAGCCAAUUGAGUGCUAACUUGUUUAUGACUAAUAAAUUUUCUGAUUAGGUAUAAAAUAUAUAGUAGUGGAUUAUAUCAAAUAAGAAUUCAUAUCAUAUAAACUAAUGUGGUAUGGAGGUACUCAAGCUCUUCAUCUGAACUGGAUUCGAACUUCUAAAAGUUUGUGUUUGAGCUUGAAACCAUAACAAGUUUAAUAAUGAGCUCAAGCUCAAGUUCAAGCAGAAUUCAGUGGUUAAACGAAUCAAACCACAUUUACAAAUGACAAAAUUUGACUCAUUAGCGGUAGGGAUUUUGACCCCACUAGCUUGUUUGGUACUUGUUGAUAUAUAUAUAGAGAGAGAGAGAGAGAUCCCUAUAACUGAAGCAAGAGUUAUAUCUUUGCUCUGCUCCCUAGAAUUCCUUGCUUUGGAGCUUUAUGCUAUGGGGAGCUGAACUUAACUUGCUUAUUGUUGUGGUGCUGUGAUUCAUGCAGUAAAGGAAGAAAUGGACACAUCAAUUAUAGAGAUUCUAAGCUGACUCGCAUGCUGCAGCCUUGCUUGGGUGGCAAUGCUAGAACUGCCAUC
rnacentral:lncRNA from 1 species